rnacentral:rRNA from 1 species
AUUGAACGCUGGCGGCAGGCCUAACACAUGCAAGUCGAGCGGAGCGGCGGACGGGUGAGUAAUGCCUAGGUAUCUGCCUGGUAGUGGGGGAUAACGUCCGGAAACGGGCGCUAAUCCCGCAUACCAUCAGAUGUGCCCAGAUGGGAUUAGCUAGUAGGUGGGGUAAUGGCUCACCUAGGCGACGAUCCCUAGCUGGUCUGAGAGGAUGACCAGCCACACUGGAACUGAGAUACGGCCCAGACUCCUACGGGAGGGAGCAGUGGGGGAUAUUGCACAAUGGGCGAAAGCGUGAUGCAGCGACGCCGCGUGGGGGAUGAAGGCUUUCGGGUUGUAAACCUCUUUAGCUAUCGAACGGGUAGGUGGAGAAGAAGCGCCGGCUAACUACGUGCCAGCAGCCGCGGUAAUAC